rnacentral:rRNA from 1 species
UACGAGGGGGGCAAAUGUUGUUCGGAAUCACUGGGCGUAAAGGGCGCGUAGGCGGCUGUUCAAGUCGGGGGUGAAAGCCUGUGGCUCAACCACAGAAUUGCCUUCGAUACUGGACGGCUGGAGACCGGAAGAGGUCAAUGGAACUGCGAGUGUAGAGGUGAAAUUCGUAGAUAUUCGCAAGAACACCAGUGGCGAAGGCGGCUGACUGGUCCGGUUCUGACGCUGAGGCGCGAAAGCGUGGGGAGCAAACAGG